GUUUAGUUUCUUCCGGUGGCUUUGUGUUUCCUGAGGGGAACUCGUAGAGAAGAAUCGUUUCUUUCCACGCUGUACCUUUGCUCUCAAGUUAAAAAUAGGAUCGCUAGCCUGGAGAUGUAAAGGUUGAACGUAGCUGGAGAGUUUCCUUGUCAUCUAAAGAUCAAACAUGGACCCUGAAGCUGAAAUAAAGAAGCAAGUAAACCCUUUUUACUGCAAUAUUUGCAAAAUCUGGUGUGCUUCAGCAUUAAACUUGCAGACUCAUUUCCUUGGAUUCAAACACAAGACGGUUGAAGAAGCAUUGAAAGCUCAUGGCAUUGUUAAAACAGCAAGUGGCUCAGGGGAGCAAGUGAAAACACCUGUAAAACUUCCUGAUUAUGUGCAAACUGAGCCAGAGAGGUUUCAUGGACAGACCUUGGAAGAACAGCUUAAUAUGUGUAAAGAUUCAGAACCUGCACUUGGACUUAACUAUAUAAUUGAAUACAGAUCAAAAGACAAUUUCCCUUUUCUCUAUGAAUGUCAACUGUGCCACUGUAAAACAGGAUUGAGUAAUAUGUUCAUGCAUGUUUGUGGUUCCAAGCAUAGACUGGCAUAUCUGAAACAACAUUAUCCUGAGAUAGCAGAAUCUGAUGAAGUUAAGGGUAAAGGCUCUGAACUGAACAGAAAAGUUAGGCAAGUUGCAUUAACAAUUGAGAAGAAAGAAGGAAGAAAACAAAUAAAGGUUGUUACAGAUGCUCCAGUAAUGAGGAGGAGAUGGCAAGAAUAUCCUAAUGCAGAUGACAGCCCUUCAAAAGCUAAAGUUCAGCAUAUGGAUACAUCACUUAAUAAUGAAGAAGACUGUAAAAAUAAGGAUGGAAAAAUGCCAGACCUUAUUCAAGAUGAAAAGAAGGUUCAAGAGGAGCAGGAGAAAAUUCAGAAAGAGCAGACAAAGCCAGAUGAGAAGAUUGAACCUAAUGAGGCUAUUGAAAGCAGCAAAGGCAACAAGACUGAAGAAGGCAGCAAAGGCAACAACUCAGAAAAGUGUGAGACCAAUAAACAAUCGCAGGAAGAAAAGAAGGAAGUUGAGCAAGAAUUUACAGCAAAUUCUGAAGAAUUUACUAGUCAAGAACAACUGUUGAGUUAUUUGCAAAAUUUUGAGAUACUGAAUGAAGAUGAUGCCUCAUUUAUCCUGAAAGUUACACAGACUCUUACAGAUGCACUGGUGGAAUAUCGUCAGCAGGCUAUAUCAAACAAAGACCUCUUAGAUACUGAAUAUAAUGGAGAAGCAGCAUUGGAAUAUUCCACAGAACAGUCUGACUUGACUUCGGCAGAUAUUAGUGACUCUGAUACUGAUUAUUCAAGCAGCCGAUCAGCUAAGCACUCCUUAUCAAUAAAUGAAGACGAUGAGCCCCAAAACUUUUCAACUGGCUCUUUGGAAACAGCAUAUGAGAACAACAUCACUACUGAAUUUUUGAACAGUGUAAGAAAUAUGAAUGUUGAGGAAGUUACUGCUACUCUACACAAAAUAGCAGCAGCAAAUCCAGCUUUCAGAGGUUUUGUUGUGUGUUGAACACAGGUGUUUGUUCACUGCCCCCCACCCCCCCUGCAGCUGGACAGGGAAGAGAAUAGGAAGAACAAAAGUGAGAAAACUUGUGGGUCGUGAUAACAACAGUUUAGAAUUGAUAUUCCAAAUGUUAUAAGGAUCCUGACUGAAAGUGGAACUCUGAGAAGACCAAGCAAUGGCAGCACACAGUGACGUGGUAGUUGAUAGUUAAUAUAGCAAUGUUCACUUCCUGUCACUUUGUUGUUUUACUCAGUAUGAAGUCAAUGUAGCUGAUUUUGCUAUGUUCAAAUUUUGUACAAUAUUAUUUUAAAUUAAUAACUUGGCUUUGAGGUUGUUAUUUAUUUCUUAGUAUAGCUUAAAUUUCUAUAUUGUGGAAAGGUUGUAAAGCUCAUGUUCUCUCUUUCCAUGUUAAAAUAUACUUUUAAAACAGAUAACAGUUUUUCUCAGUAUCAUUAAAUACGAUACGUUGACAGUCUAAUCUUUUCUUAUUGUUGGUUCUUUUCCAAAGAGUUAUCAGCAGAAUGAACUACUGCAAUCAGCAGUACAAAUUCAUCCUACAAUAAAUACUCAGAAGUUCUUCCCUGGGCUGCUGGGCCUGACUCAAAAGAUUUUGUAAUCAAAAAUCCUCUCCCAUAUAAGGAUAAUGACCCAUAUAUAUAUAUAUAUAUAUAUAUAUAAAUUUUUUUUUGAGUAAAGGUUAAAAAUAAUAAUCAAAAGUCAGUGCUGUCAGUCUAGUUCUGAGCUGAGGAGUACCUGGAUUAUAGCCAGCUACGGGAGCUUCCGUAAUUGGAAGCCUUAGCAAAGUCAACAGAAGUUGGCUGUGCCUGCAAAUUCAGGGAUAUGUUCCAAGAGAACUAACAGAACUGCAGAUAAGAGGCACUGAUGUGGUAGUGAAAGUAUCUGUUGUCUUCUCUUAUCCCACCAGUAUGAGAAUUAAAUGAAAGCUGACUUAUACUGUCCUUCAAUUCAGGCUCUUCUAACGUGAACUUUUUUUCCAUCUAUAGUAGUAGUGUUUUUGACUGAAUGUAAAGGUCUUGACAUUAAUGACUACUACUUUUGUAGGAUAAUGAAGAAUGUUUUGGAUGGUUACAAAUUAAGUGUGCAUGGGGAAAAGUAAUUUUUUUUUAACUUGUAUAAUUAAAAUUUGCUUUCUGCUUGUGACAUUGGGUAGCAUUCGGUGGUUCUAAUUAAAGCUCUUCAGCUUUGCAGUCAAAUGCUGGUAUAAUAUAGACAUACUGGGGCCAGAUGGUAAAUGAACCUUUUAAUGUUAACUUUUUUUUUGAGAUCUGGAUGGAAUUGAGAAUCCUCAUCCUGAUGGUUUCACAUCUUCUUAUCAUGGAAUGCAAGAUAUCAUAAAAAUAAGAUAUCAAAGAAGGCAGCAAGAAAAUUGGUUGGUUUUGUUCCAUGAACAGACACAGGAAUGAAAACAGUUCACUGACAAUUAAAAAAAUGAAACCACAAAAAGCUGCUUUAAAGAAAUUGUGAAGAAUUUCUACAAUGCCUCUAAAUAUGUUCUUGUUGGAAGCAGAGAUGGAACCAGACCUCUUACAGCUCAUUUACACUAUAAUAAGGACAAUGUUAAUGCCUGCUUAAUGAAGAUGAUCAGUAAAAACAUCUUUUAGUUGAUACAAAACUUUUGAAUUCUUUUCCUGUAAUACAGAAAAUAAAAAUAGAAACGUCUUUUGUUUAUUUUCCAAGUACAGAACAUUCUGUGAAUUAAAAUAAUAAAAUAAGAAUGUUCAGCUGUUGUGAAAGGCCAUCUCUGGGGCAGCUUCUUUCUCCUUUUACUAUGGAAUCAUUCCUAGUGGAAAUAAAGUUAAAAUUAAGUUGAAA